AUUGAACGCUGGCGGCAGGCCUAACACAUGCAAGUCGAACGGUAACAGGAAGCAGCUUGCUGCUUCGCUGACGAGUGGCGGACGGGUGAGUAAUGUCUGGGAAACUGCCUGAUGGAGGGGGAUAACUACUGGAAACGGUAGCUAAUACCGCAUAACGUCGCAAGACCAAAGAGGGGGACCUUAGGGCCUCUUGCCAUCGGAUGUGCCCAGAUGGGAUUAGCUAGUAGGUGGGGUAACGGCUCACCUAGGCGACGAUCCCUAGCUGGUCUGAGAGGAUGACCAGCCACACUGGAACUGAGACACGGUCCAGACUCCUACGGGAGGCAGCAGUGGGGAAUAUUGCACAAUGGGCGCAAGCCUGAUGCAGCCAUGCCGCGUGUAUGAAGAAGGCCUUCGGGUUGUAAAGUACUUUCAGCGGGGAGGAAGGGAGUAAAGUUAAUACCUUUGCUCAUUGACGGUACCCGCAGAAGAAGCACCGGCUAACUCCGUG
rnacentral:rRNA from 1 species